GUUCGGUUUGUUACGGGUGGUUGGCUCUUUGCUUGUGCAACAACUUCCACCUGACUUACCUUUUCAGUUUCUUAUCAAAUGCUUCUUAAGCAUUGGAUUAAGUAUGGGUUUCUUGUGUUGCAUACCAAUUUGAUGGAAUCGUCUGAUGCUUAAUUUUAGAUUUCAUCUUCUAUCUUAAAUGUGAUGUGAGAUGAACCUUAAAGCAUUCUUUAUGAACCUCAUCUUUAAUGUUUGUGCAUUAUUUGGUGUGGAUCAUUUUGAGUUGCUUGGUCUCUUGGAUAUGGAACUUGAUGUGGGCAUGGGACUUUAUGAGUCCUUUUGUUGUCCUGUUUUAGCAUUAUUGCUUCUCUAAUACGAUUGUCUAUCACGUAUGGCACGUCUCAGCGUGGUAGGCUAUGUCGGAGAUGAAUGCUACCUGGUUGAUCCU
rnacentral:misc_RNA from 1 species